rnacentral:lncRNA from 1 species
CAACACCUCUUCCGCAGCCCAUGGGCCAGCAAGUGAUCUGCCACUUCAAGAAGAUAUACACAAAGGUUCUCUUCACCAAGAGUUUUAAUGCCACUGAAGAGAUAUCCUUGACUCUGAAAGAAUUCUGGAAGAAACAUUUCAAUGUCCUCCACUGCAUAAACCUCAUUGGCAAAGCCUAGGAAGAUGUCACAUAGUGGACCUUAAAAUCACCCAGGAGGAAAAUGGACAGAGGGUGUCAAUGAACGUGAUUUGGAAAAGUCUCAUACAGAGAUAGUGGAGAGAUUGUGUACAUGGGCAAGAGUAUGGGUCUGGAUGUCAGUGGUAAAGACAUAGAGGAGCUAAUUAAAGAGCAUAAGGAGGAGCUGACAAUAAGAGCUUGCUGAACUCAGAGUGAGCAAUAGAAGGCUCUUGUUGAGGAGCAUUCCACUGGGGAAGAGGAAGACAGGGAUGAGACGACCAGUGAUGUGAUAAAAUCCAUUGCGAAAAAAUGCAACGAGUGCCAGGAUUUCUCUGAAGCAACAUCCAAAUAUAACUGCAAUGAACAGAAUGUUGAAUCUGAUGCAUGAUAACAUGGUCUCUCAAUUCUGAAAGAAAAAGUGACAUUAGACAGAUGUUUUUCAUCAAAAUUGACCCUGAAGCGAAGCAACAAAAAUGAAGAGCAAUGCCUGAAGAAGAGAUAUCCCCACUGUCCUUACGGAGGAGGACUCUUCCUCCAAACAUCUUCCCACCCACCUUCCUGUCCACACCAGAAGCCCCUUCAAGCAAGUGAAUUAAGCCUAAGAGCUAGAAGUCUUUCUGAAAAUCAAGAGAAUACUUCCACUGUACUUCAGCUGAGGGAAGGUGUUUCCACCAAAUCUGGCCUUGACUUGAUAUGUAUGGUCAUCUGAAGCCACCACUGUAAAUAAAUUUGAGGACCCAUGAAACAGGAGUCUUCCUACCAGGUGACAAGGAGCUGAGCCAGGAGAGUAUUUACUGCAGGCUGAUGAGAGAAGGAAGACUGAAAAACCAAGUUACUGAUCCAGAAACAGGGCCAUCCGUGCUCCCCAGGAAGACUCUGAGAAACAGAAAAUGAGAAACAGCCCUCAAUGCAAAAUGUUUCAGCUUAUACUUUAUAAAAGUAUUAAAGCAAUAUGUACUCAAUAAAAAUUGUAAAUGGCCU